UACAGAGGUCUCAAGCGUUGUUCGGAUUCAUUGGGCGUAAAGGGUGCGUAGGCGGCGCGGUAAGUCGGGUGUGAAAUCUCGGAGCUUAACUCCGAAACUGCAUUCGAUACUGCCGUGACUUGAGGACUGGAGAGGAGACUGGAAUUUACGGUGUAGCGGUGAAAUGCGUAGAUAUCGUAAGGAAGACCAGUGGCGAAGGCGGGUCUCUGGACAGUUCCUGACGCUGAGGCACGAAGGCCAGGGGAGCAAACGGG
rnacentral:rRNA from 1 species